rnacentral:rRNA from 1 species
GGAUCGCAAGACCUUGCGCUCUUGGAGCGGCCGAUGUCUGAUUAGCUAGUUGGUGAGGUAAAGGCUUACCAAGGCGACGAUCAGUAGCUGGUCUGAGAGGACGACCAGCCACACUGGGACUGAGACACGGCCCAGACUCCUACGGGAGGCAGCAGUGGGGAAUUUUGGACAAUGGGGGAAACCCCGAUCCAGCCAUGCCGCGUGAGUGAAGAAGGCCUUCGGGUUGUAAAGCUCUUUCAGCCGGAACGAAACGGUCACGGCUAAUACCUGUGACUACUGACGGUACCGGAAGAAGAAGCACCGGCUAACUACGUGCCAGCAGCCGCGGUAAUACGUAGGGUGCAAGCGUUAAUCGGAAUUACUGGGCGUAAAGCGUGCGCAGGCGGUUUUGUAAGUCAGAUGUGAAAUCCCCGGGCUUAACCUGGGAACUGCGUUUGAAA